rnacentral:lncRNA from 1 species
CGGAAAGCCUUGACAGACAUUACCAUUUCUAAAUCUGCCAAAACUCAGGUGCACUCUUUAUAGAAUAGCUUGAGUGUGCUUGCAAAGUAUAGGCCUUCAAAUUAAGAAGACUAACUUAUGCGUGGUUUGCAAUUUUCUGUUAUUCCACAGCUCUUCCUAGAAAUUGCCUAUCGUGUAAAAGGCCAGUAUUGAGUAUUUUCCAUAGACAUUUUGCCACAAGCGUAAUGGAUGAUGGGGGAUAUUUUUGACCUAGACAAUUUCCCCCUAUUUGGUUUGGUCCAAGUGAGUAGGAGGAUAUCCGACACGAAAGAGCUGCUCAAUAGUAAUGACAGCGAUACGGCUAUAGAGUUACCCGUUGCUAUGACGCAAACCACAACCCAAACUCGCAACAGCUCAGAGGAUUUGUUGUUGGCGAUAUGCUGAGGUCGUGACUUCAGCACCCUGGACAGUGAUCAUCUCAAAGCGAUCCGUCCGGUAUAGGCUUCCAGGGAGCUAGAUUCACACUACAGGCUACCCCAGACAGGAUGGAUGAAUUCACCGAGGGAACAAAGCGAUCUCCAUGUCUCGUCAGUGCUGUGUAGGAACUUCUAAUGAGAGGGAUGUUCAAAAAGGUGAAUAAUGUGUUUCGUCCCAACUAUCACGGGCACAGGGCUCAUGAGCACGGCCUUCGCAGCAGACAGGACUACCACAACGCUUGCACCGUGCGGUUGGUCCGCAGCACCUCCAUGCUGGUGAUCGGGGAGAAGACCCAGACGGCCCCGAACUCGACCUUAAAGAGGAGCAAGAGCUCCGUGAGCAUCGAGUCCACCACCGCCUUGUAUUACUACCAGAGGCAGGAGGAUCAAAUAUGGCUCUACUCGCAGAACCAGAACUGCUUGGAAUACUUGGAAGAACUCGUGGCUUUGAGACGGCAAUACACGAGGAGCGUCCACGACCUGACCAGCAGUGAAUUAAAGGCCUCGGUGUCGACCAAGAAGAGAGCGGCGCCGCCCCCGCCUCCCAAGCACGCGCAGAGAUCAAGUGUCAGACCCUCUGCUCCUCCGUUUCCGAACGAGGACGACACUUUGCAAUACUUCGAUGCGGUCAUCGACAGCUGCGACGCGGAUCGGGCGCGCAAACCGCCCGCCGACGACGGCAACGCGGACGUAGACUUUAUUGUGGCGUCAAGCUCCAAAGAGCACGACCUCCAUUCCAACUGGGUCAUGCGCGUGCCCAGAGUGUCAGAGGGGUCCCGAGAGAAAGCGGCUCCUCCCGCGCCUGGCCGUGGCAGCGCAUCCAAGAAGAAAAGCUCCAGCGGCUCCACAAGCAGUCGACUGCGGCUGCAGAGGAACCCGAUCCACCUGCCUAAGGUGGUUGAGAGCGCCUUCCAGACGUUACGCUUCAAGCCCAAUUUAAAGAAGCAGUAG